rnacentral:rRNA from 1 species
GAAAGUAGGAAAGGGCGCACGGCGGAUGCCUUGGCUCAUUCAGGCGAAGAAGGACGUGAUAAGCUGCGAUAAGCCGCGGGUAGGCGCAAAUGGCCAUUGAUCCGCGGAUUUCCGAAUGGGACAACCCAGGCGGCAGGAGGCCGCCUAUCCGGAUCAUUCCGGAGGCUAACCGGGGGAACUGAAACAUCUUAGUACCCCGAGGAAGAGAAAAUAAUCUAAUGAUUCCCCCAGUAGUGGCGAGCGAACGGGGAAGAGCCCAAACCGUGACGGUCGCAAGGCCGCCGCGGGGUUGUAGGACCGCGCCAUUGCACAUUGAGGGUGAGUGGAAUCUCCUGGAAAGGCGAAUCGUAGAAGGUGAUAAUCCUGUACACGAAGCCCGAUGUGGCAUAGCGGUAUCCUGAGUAACGCGGGACACGAGGAAUCCUGCGCGAAUCUGCCGGGACCAUCCGGUAAGGCUAAAUACUCGAAUGAGACCGAUAGCGAACGAGUACCGUGAGGGAAAGGUGAAAAGCACUUCCAUGAGAAGAGUGAAAUAGUUCCUGAAACCGUGCGCCUACAAGCGGUCGGAGCGCAGCGAUGCGUGACGGCGUGCCUUUUGCAUAAUGAGCCUACGAGUUGCCGUCACCGGCGAGGCUAAGCCCCAUGAGGGGCGCAGCCGCAGUGAGAGCGAGCCUGAAGAGGGCGUUGUUAGUCGGUGGGGGCAGACGCGAAACCAAGUGAUCUACGCAUGUCCAGGAUGAAGUCCGGGUAACACCGGAUGGAGGUCCGCACCAAUAAGCGUUGAAAAGCUUCUGGAUGAGGUGUGCGUAGGAGUGAAAGGCCAAUCAAACUUGGAGAUAGCUCGUACUCCCCGAAAGGCAUUUAGGUGCCGCGUGUGGCGUUCCCCUGGAGAGGUAGAGCGACCGAUAGGACGCGAGGGCUUCACCGCCUAUCAAGUCCUGACGAACUCCGAAUGCUUCAGGGCAGGAGCCAUGCAGUAAGGGGGCGGGUGCUAAGGUCCGUCCCCGAGAGGAGAAGAAUCCGGACCGCCGCCUAAGGCCCCGGAGUUUCCGCCGAGUCAGUCUAACGAAGUCCGGUCCCCGUGACAGCCAGGAUGUUGGCUUGGAAGCAGCCAUUCAUUCAAAGAGUGCGUAACAGCUCACUGGUCGAGGGUCCGGGCGUGGAUAAUAAUCGGGUGUAAGCGGAACGCCGAAGGCGCGGGAUAGCAGAGCAAUGAAAAGUAUCGGUAGGGGAGCAUUCCACCGGCGUUGAAUGCGUGGAGCGAUCCGCGCUGGAGCUUGUGGAAAAGCAAAUGUAGGCAUAAGUAACGAUUAGGAGGGCGAGAACCCCUCCCGCCGUAAGUCUAAGGUUUCCCGGGCAAUGCCAGUCAUCCCGGGGUCAGUCGGGUCCUAAGCCUCAUCCGAAGGGAGAGGGCGAUGGCAGAGACGGUCAACAUUCCGUCACUUGCCUUGGGGGCGAUGUGGAGACGGAGCAGUGAAACGGCCGCGGGGCGACGGAAGUCCCCGUUGAAGGGUGUAGGUGAUGAUAGAGGCAGGCAAAUCCGCCUUUAGAGCCGAACCUGACAGUAUCUUCCCUCCUUCGGGAGGUAGGAAUAGCGCCGGUAAGCAUACUCCCGAGAAAAUCCGCUAAGCUCAACCCCAUGGCAACCCGUACCGCAAACCGACACAGGUAGACGGGUAGAACAUACUAAGGCGUUGGAAGAUUCAUGGUUAAGGAACUAGGCAAACUGACCCUGUAACUUCGGGAUAAAGGGUCCUCACAGCGAUGUGAGGCGCAGAGAAUAGGUCCAGGCAACUGUUUAACAAAAACACAGGGCUGUGCAAACUCGAAAGAUGACGUAUACAGCCUGACACCUGCCCGGUGCCGGAAGGUUAAGAGGAGAUGUCACUCGCAAGAGGAAGCAUUGAAUUGAAGCCCCGGUAAACGGCGGCCGUAACUAUAACGGUCCUAAGGUAGCGAAAUUCCUUGUCGGGUAAGUUCCGACCUGCACGAAUGGUGUAAUGAUCCGGACGCUGUCUCAACCAUGAUUCCAGUGAAAUUGUAGUAUCGGUGAAGAUGCCGAUUACCCGCGAUGGGACGAAAAGACCCCGUGAACCUUUACUACAGCUUAGCAUUGACCUUGGUCAUCCGAUGUGUAGGAUAGGCCGGAGGCUUUGAAGCGGGAGCGCCAGCUUUCGUGGAGCCAUCCUUGAAAUACGGCCCUUUGGCUGUCUGAGGUCUAACGCGUGAUUACGCGGACACUGCUUGGUGGGUAGUUUGACUGGGGUGGUCGCCUCCAAAAGCGUAACGGAGGCUUCCAAAGGUGCCCUCGGGUCGAUUGGUAACCGACCUCAAAGAGUGCAAUGGCAUAAGGGCGCUUGACUGGGAGGCAGACAUGCCGAGCAGGCAGGAAACUGGGGCAUAGUGAUCCGGCGGAUGUGUAUGGAAACUCCGUCGCUCAAAGGAUAAAAGGUACUCCGGGGAUAACAGGCUGAUCCCCCCCAAGAGCUCAUAUCGACGGGGUGGUUUGGCACCUCGAUGUCGGCUCGUCACAUCCUGGGGCUGGAGAAGGUCCCA